GGGUGUGGGUGGCGGUGCCGCGGUGCCGCGGUGGCAGACGGAUUAGAGGAGCCUGGGUAAAUGGGAGGGGGGAGUGAGACGGGUCACGAGUCACGAGAGUCGAGACGAGUGGUGGUGGUGUCACUGGUGUGGUGUGGUGUGGUGUAGGUCACGGCGAAGAAGGGUGAGGGGUCGAGUGUAGGAGGCAGAGGGGGUGGCGAUUAGCAGCCAUGGAGACAAGGGGCUCGAGGAGAAGAAGGAGCUCAGGGCUGGAUGGUUAGGGUUGGGUUGCGCCGAGAUGGCGGGCGGCGGCGCGGCAUCGUCGGAUCGCAGCGGCGGCAGGAGGAGCGGCGUUCUAGCGCGAGGACGACAGAGGCGGGGCGACUCCCAAACUCCCAACCAACCAACCCAAGAGAGGCUAACAUUUCUACGUAUGGCAUAAAGGAGUAAGUACUGGAGACCUUAUACGAGAUCAGUGGGAACAUACGAGGUGGUCCACCACUGUUUACCCGAUAAAAGAGUCUUUAGUCGGGUCAAAGGAGAAAUAAGACUAGUAGGACGUGAAACCCCGGGCACGUCGUUCUCGCGAUUCAAGUCUACCACUUCGUGAAGAGCGGAAAUUCUUCCGUUAGUGUUUAAGUCUACCCUAGAAAGAUUUAACCGUGCUUGUUCUGCGCCUAGGGACGUUGACCUUCCCACAAUUUACGCUACCAGUGUCGUUCUCUCACUAAAUAGACUAAGAGGGUAUAGUGUUCAAUCAGCCCGGGUAUGGUGGUCUUCAACCUUCCGAUUUAGUCGAAGUCUGAAAUAGUGAUGUCCCCUUGUCAAACAUACCAAGUGAGGGAGGGCUCGAUCCUUUAACAUGGUUCAACGUUGUUGAUAUAGAUGUUCCUUUAAUAUAUUCACCUAUAUAGGGAAGCCUUAAACCACUAGACCAACUCGAGCUCUGUAACCUGAAUAGGUCGUUAUGCAACUUCCCUAGUUAGGGCGUAAGAGAACUAUUGGACUGGUUUGAACGUAGUAAGUUACAUAGGUACUUGAAAGACUGUCCUCGUUAUGGUAGUCUACCAAGUGAACGGUUAAAAUUACUUUGAAGGAAAUAACCCUUGGCACUAAAUACACCAUCCGUCUAAUUAAGUCACACGUUUCUACGUGAAGUUAGUGGUAGUCUACCGAGGGUCGUCGGAAACUUUCUACUGUGUUUAUUUUCCUCAAGGUCUCAACAAUAUUCACGCCAGCGCUGUCACCCUCGAGACGAUAAUCACCGAGACUACACAAAGACCCCAACAAAAGACAUGUUUUUAAAGCCCUUCUUUCUAUAGGUACCAAAGUCCCAUCUCGAUACACCUCCGAGAAGACAACACUACAAGGUACCCCUGGAGGGAAUGAGGUGCUUUCUAUAGGAAUUCUUCAAUCUCUGGUACCUACUCCUUUUAUAGUAACCUCGUCCCCCGAAACCCUGGCACAUAUUUGAACGUUACCUACUACCAUUGCAAAAACGUAACUUUUCCUAUCACUUUUGUUUACUCCCCGCACUGUUUAAGAAACUAUCUCUUGAACUCUAUAACCCUUCACAAUUCGUGGCAUUAAACCAGUUAGAGGCACCGAUAACGUUAAGGGGAAGUAGCUUUGACAACUAUAUACUGAUGGAAGGUCCACCUUCGGACCUACUUCACGAUGUACUUUUUUGACUCGUCAACCUUACCCUCCGUGCGUAAUUGUAUUAUGAACCUCGACGUUUUCCGGACCGAAUGAACGUAGUACUAACGAGUGGAGCUUAUUAUGUAGCACUAUAAUUCAGCUCGUUAUAGAAUGACCUGCCGUUAAAACUCCGUGCACAUAGUCUGAAGCCUGAACGUUUCGAUGACCUCCUACUUCUUAGAGUAUAAUGAUGUUAUCAACGUCCUUGUAAACCUAUAGAACGCGGUCUCAUAUACGUUUCACCGUCCCGGUGGCUUUUCUGCCUACAUAUGUCAAAACCUCAAAACCAUGAGCUCUAUGACUCGCCUUUCGCUGGAUGACUACGUAGUAAGUAACUCUUCCCCAACUUGUAACAACCUACCGACUUGAAGAACCGACCUCUCUCGUCUCUCGCCCUCUAGCACCUAGGCCUAACGCUGCCGCACGUCUAGCUCUGGGACCUGCGGGACGAGAGAGAGCGGUUCGUUACACACUCGAGAAACGGCCUCCUCGCCGGCUGCUACGUGUCCCACCAUGUCUACGACCUCAGCCUACAUUAAUGUGGCACGCCGUCACUAAAGAUGCUAAGUCUCAUCCCGAUGCUUUGGUGCCGACGACCGUAGACACUAACACACCAUCACUAAAGAUGCCAGACCUAACUCUGCGUGGUGUAGGAAGACGGCGACCAAAGGGACACCUCCGUGUAAGGUAAAUAAGAAACGUCUAAAAAGAUUUACGUACGCAAUGGCUCCCCAACCCACCCGAGGUUGUCCGACCAAGAUGCCCCUGUUGUAAAAACGCUAAACAUACAUAGAUAUACGGUGCGAUGUCUGACAAUAUACAACUAAAUUAUUCCUCUGAACGGACCUCUAACUACACGAACGUAAGACGAACCAAAAAUCCACAAGAAAACACAAGCGAGUCCAAAACACAGUACGAGUCCUUCUACUCUGCUGCCACCAAGAAACCUCAACCAUGUUCCAAGAGGGGCGUAUUGGGACAAGACCGCCACGUAGAUCGUAGUAACCUCCCGCACACCUGCUACCUAAGCCAAUCGCAAACAAAAACUACCUAGGUGAACCUAAACUAGAAACAAGCAGACAGAAAUCGAAGUAACCGCAGCCAGCGACAACACCACGCGAGACCAGGAUAUUAUGAAAUCGAGACCAGGAUAUUCUGAAAUCGUACUACUGAAAAAUCAUGUUGCUCCAAACAACCUGAUACCAAUCCAUUUCCACUAGUGCCGCCGUGUGGAAGACGAGCGAGAUCACAAGAAACAUGACAGGAAUUGACUACUACUUGUCUAACCUUCGGGUAGUUACCUCCCACCAGCACAACAUAGAAAUGUACCGGAACCCACAUCACCAA
rnacentral:rRNA from 1 species